GUCUUUUAUUCCCAGGUUCGCCCCCUUGGUUCAGUCCCCCUAGGUCCAUGCAGGCUACAAGUGGCACUUGAACAGGCAACAGUCCGAACACAGGGACUAUGAGGACAUGAACGAAGAAGGUCUGCCGGAGCAGAGGAACUGAAAUUGAAAGGUGAACAGGGAUGCCGGGCCGGGUCUGCCAGCAGCGGAUAUAAGUCUGUAAAAUCAGAUGGACUGCCAAUUGGAGAAUGAGAGCUGCCCAGCCUGGCCUUAUGUUCUUUCAAUUAAUUCAUAAACAGAAAGGGGGAUAUGCAGGGAGCCGAAGGCCCGUAGGAUUCGGCAUUCCACUGGAGGCUAUGUGAUCAAACAGCAAACUGUUUAUCAUGAAUGCAGAAUGUGGGCAAACUCACAACUGCUCCUGCCGACAGAAGGUUUGCUGGAGGCAAUCACUCCCUGGCACUGAGGUUAUCUACUGCGACAUCUAGAGCCUGUUGUUCGAGGAAUGCAGUCUUGCAAGCCUACUCUGGACUGAGCAGCUGACCCCUUCUUCCACCCCCCUUCUCACUAUCUCUUUUGCCUAAU
rnacentral:lncRNA from 1 species